ensembl:lncRNA
UGAGCGCAACGACGCUGCUGCUGCUGCUGCUGCUGGGUUUUUUCCCCCCCCUGUGUUGUUGCGCCAGCGCAGUUUCCCCGCGACAAACACGCGAGGUCCACCGCGGCUCCUCGAAGCCGGACGACGUCUUGGAAUCUACACGCGCGCGCCUGACUUCUCCGACAACGUUUUUUUUCUCAAAUUUUAUUUGAAUUAAUAUUAGUAUUAUUUGUUGUCUGUUCCUGCGGGACUCCUCUAUAAGUAGGUCGCCUACAAAACGGCCUCUCCCCCCCCCCCCCCUCCCCGCAAGUGCGCAGUCCGGGUUCCUUCCUCCCAGAGCUCCAUCGUGGAUUUACUUGGUUUUAUUCUGGGACGAAUUGCACGCGCAACCCGCGCUGAACUAAGACCACGAGAAGAGAACCACACUAGUAGUGAUAAGGGAAUACCGCGAAGGGAUACGCUCCUACUUGGAUUAACCGGCGGUGAACGUUAUGCACCAGACUUCGUAGUCUCCGUCUGGACGUUGUCCCUUUUCCGUGGUGGAUGGAGUUUUUGCAGCUGCUUGGUUGAUGGAUUCGACGUUAUGGAUGGUUGCACAUAGGUUUUGGGCGGGUGAGACGGCUCACCUGGACCUCCUGGACACCAGGGAGAAAAGACGAACUGUCCGGCUCUCCAUCUGCUCACCACUCCUCGCCUUCUGGAAUGCUCUUCUGGUCCCGUUGAGCUCUUGGACCCGUCCUCCCCCGACUGAUGAUCAGCCAGAUAACGUUAGGCCUCCCGACCAAUUGGACGCCAGGAUCCGCACCUCAUUCCACAGGUGAGCCUUCCAACAGACGAGCCGCUAUGAGGAGCGUUGCUUUCAUUGAGGGCCAACAAAAAGGGAGCGCCCAGACGCCAUCCAGCGCUAAAACGGGGCCACCUGUGCUUUGUGGUGUUUUCUUCAGGCAGUGCUCGGCGAGCACGUGGAGCCGGCGGUCAUUUUUUUGGUGACGUUGUUGAUGCUUCUUUGUGCUUGUGACUGAAGGGGGAAACGUCGGCUUUAAUUGUCACCUUUUUUAAAUAUCUUUUGCAAAAGGCGCGCUGCACUGUCCUCGCAUUUGGAAGCGUCUUACUUUAAGGUUGCUCCGACGGGAGCACUUUGUUAGUUAGUGAGCGUUAUUCCCUCUGCUGUGCUCGUCUGAACUGAACUUUCCCUUCUGGUCUCAACCAGCGUGGUGCCUCCUGUCCGUCUGCCACCUGACCUCCAUAAAAACACUUCCUUAAAAAAAUCAUGUGACGUAAUGAUGUUUGCUAAUAUUAUUUAACUGUCAGUUUGACAAAACACUAAAUAUCGGAUCCCCCCCCC